rnacentral:rRNA from 1 species
AACGAACGCUGGCGGCAUGCCUAACACAUGCAAGUCGAACGAGACCUUCGGGUCUAGUGGCGCACGGGUGCGUAACGCGUGGGAACCUGCCCUUAGGUUCGGAAUAACUCCCCGAAAGGGGUGCUAAUACCGGAUAAUGUCUUCGGCCCAAAGAUUUAUCGCCUUUGGAUGGGCCCGCGUUGGAUUAGCUAGUUGGUAGGGUAAAAGCCUACCAAGGCGACGAUCCAUAGCUGGUCUGAGAGGAUGAUCAGCCACACUGGGACUGAGACACGGCCCAGACUCCUACGGGAGGCAGCAGUGGGGAAUAUUGGACAAUGGGCGAAAGCCUGAUCCAGCAAUGCCGCGUGAGUGAUGAAGGCCUUAGGGUUGUAAAGCUCUUUUACCCGGGAUGAUAAUGACAGUACCGGGAGAAUAAGCUCCGGCUAACUCCGU